AUGGGGGCAGGGAUGAUUUUUCUUUUUGUUUUGAGGGAGAACUUUUACUGUACUAAAGAAACAAAGAAAUUUGGGGUCAUAAUCAAAUAGGGGCCAUUCUCAGAAAAUGGCAAGCCACUUACUCGGUGGAGACAAGGCCAAAUUCAAAAUGGUUGUAUCCCCUCCCUUCCUCUCCCAGAAUCACUUCCUAGGACACCCCGAGCUGCUUGCCCAGGGUCCUGUUUCCCUGCUAACUCCAGAGAAGCAUCCCAGGGCUUUGUGACAGUCUCUAAUUCCCUUCCCUUCUCAUUAAGAAUCAUAUUGUAUAGUAGCUUUCAGACCAUACAGUAUUCAUUGGGUUACUCCUAUUAUUAUCAAGUAGCUGGAAUUGUGAAGGUCGGAGUAGUUAGAUCUUUAGCUUUUAUUCCUUAUUUUUUUGUAUUACUCUCCAUGUGUAUAAAUUAUUGAUCAUGUUGCUGGCUUUUAUAAACUCUAAGCAAAGGAAGAGCACUGCCUCAGCCUUUGCAAAUGGUAAUGAAGCACUGUUUUUAAAUAAAAGAGAGAAACACCA